GACGAACGCUGGCGGCGUGCUUAACACAUGCAAGUCGAACGAUGAACCACUUCGGUGGGGAUUAGUGGCGAACGGGUGAGUAACACGUGGGCAAUCUGCCCUUCACUCUGGGACAAGCCCUGGAAACGGGGUCUAAUACCGGAUAACACUGUCACGGGCAUCUGUGGUGGUUAAAAGCUCCGGCGGUGAAGGAUGAGCCCGCGGCCUAUCAGCUUGUUGGUGAGGUAAUGGCUCACCAAGGCGACGACGGGUAGCCGGCCUGAGAGGGCGACCGGCCACACUGGGACUGAGACACGGCCCAGACUCCUACGGGAGGCAGCAGUGGGGAAUAUUGCACAAUGGGCGAAAGCCUGAUGCAGCGACGCCGCGUGAGGGAUGACGGCCUCGGUUGUAAC
rnacentral:rRNA from 1 species